rnacentral:rRNA from 1 species
AUGGUAGCUCGUAGGAAAACACUGCAGAACUCCAAUGAUGACAAUCCAAAGAUAGUGGACUUCAUCAGUCGGUUCGGUCCAUCACAUCAAUGUGAACUUCUCUUGCAGAGAGCCAAUAGAGCAGAUGUUCACAGUGUGAGCACAUUUUCAAGGCUAGAUGCUAUUAGGAAUGUCUACGGGGUUUUGGUUGUUCGUGAUCUGAUGGAAAUACAGAUUUCAGAUGAGAAUGCUGUAGAUGAAAUAUUCAAGAUGGAUGGUUUCGUCUCAAAUGCAAAUUAUGUGGCAAAAAAGACUACUAUGAUUAUUUUCUUAAAUGAUAGACUUGUAGACUUCACUUCUUUGAAAAGAGCUACUGAAUUUGUGUACUCUGCGAUACUGCCUCAAGCGUCCAAACCCUUCAUAUACAUGUCCAUCAAUCUUCCACCAGAACACGUGGAUGUCAAUAUACAUCCAACCAAAAAGGAGAUGAUCCUUGCUGAAAUAGUCAAGACUAGAUUUCGAGUCAAGUCUCACCUUGUACUCAUACUAUGGCACGUCUAUGGUAAAUGGUUGCAGUAUAUCACAAAAAUCCACCUGGGUUUCUACAUUUGGCCAAGCACAUCUUGUAGUUUAAUAGUUGAUGGUAGUGCUAGAGAAAAAUCUCAAAAGGUUCCUGUGAGCCAAAUGGUCAGAACAGAUCCACGAGAUCCAUCUGGAAGGUUGCACACCUAUUGGCAAGGUCAAUCUUCAAAUCCAGAAAAGAAAUCUGACCUUGUUUCGGUAAGAAAUAAAUUAAGAUCAAGAAGAAAUCCAAAAGAUGCUGGUGAUUCGUCCAGUCACCAUGAGCUUCUUACAGAAAUAGAUUCUAACUUACAUCCCGGCCUUUUCGAUAUUGUUAAGAAUUGCACAUAUGUUGGAGUUGCCAAUGAAGUUUUCGCUUUGAUACAGCACAAUACCCUCUUAUACCUUGUUAACGUGGUAACUGUUAGUGAGAUACUGAAAGAAAAUGCUGAGAUGAUUAAUGAGUACUUCUCAAUUCACAUUGUUCAAGGUGGGAACCUUACCAGACUUCCUGCUGUACUUGAUCAGUACACCCCUGAUAUGGAUCGCCUUCCUGAGUUCAUGUUGACUCGAGGAAAUGAUAUUACCUGGGACAUUGAGAAAGAGUGCUUCAGAACGGCAGCAGCUGCUAUUGGAAACUUCUAUGCACUUCAUCCUCCCAUCCUUCCACAUCCAUCUGGCAAAGAUGAAGACGAUGUCGAUCAAGAGCUGCUUGCAGAAGCAGAAGCGGCAUGGGCUCAACACGAGUGGACCAUCCAGCAUGUCUUGUUUCCAUCCAUGCGGCUUUUCCUCAAGCCUCCGAAGUCGAUGGCGGCAGAUGGGACGUUUGUUCAGGUUGCUUCUCUAGACAAACUCUACAAGAUCUUGGAGAGAUGCUAG